CUCUUUCUACCAUUAAUUUUGCACGCCUUUUUUCACGUUUCUCGCUCUAUUAAUCAAUUAAAGGUAGCACAUGUUUCUCUUUCUAUUAAUUAAUUAAAGAUAGAAACUCUUUCAAGCUUUAAACUUAUUUUCCAAAAUCAGAUUAAGAUUCAAAUCCUUAUUCAACUACAUCUCUAUCAAUCUUUCACAAAAUUAGAUUUUUUAUUUUUCGACCAUCAAAUUCGCAAUAUAGCAUGAUUUUCGGAAAAUAAUCGUGUUGUAUGGAUCAUCAAACAGAAUCUGGGUUGUUGAAUACAAUGUAUAAACCAAAUUCCCUAAGGAGAUUCACAAGAGGUACAAACUAUACUGGUAACUUCAUGGUUGAAAUACCAUCUUUUGAUCUAUAUAUAACUCGAAUUCAAUCGCAAAUCUCAAGCUAUACAGUUGCGAUGGAAUUAGAGAAGAAAUAGAAGGAUGAAUUAGUAAGGUCUAGUCCUUCUAAAAGGAAAGUAGUGUCAACAGUGAAAGCAAUCGGAAAAAAAUAUUACAAAUGGAGGAAAGUAAAAAAUUUGAUCCCUGACAUGAUUGGAGAACCGGUUGUUAAUGAAGAAAAAGACAAAGUGAGUGAGGAAUCACAUAGUUGAUCAAUUUCUUCUUCUUCUUCUCUUCUUGGUGUGUGAAACCAAGAGAUGAUUUUUGACUUGUCACAAAAAUCUAGCAGUACAGAUCUUGUAACAUUCAUGUCUGCAUGUUGUAUAAAAUAUAUCUAACUAUAUAUAUCAUAAUAUAUUAAAUGUUGUAUUUAAUAGUA